rnacentral:rRNA from 1 species
UCAGUUCGGAUCGGAGUCUGNAACCCGACUCCGUGAAGCUGGAUUCGCUAGUAAUCGCGCAUCAGCCAUGGCGCGGUGAAUACGUUCCCGGGCCUUGUACACACCGCCCGUCAAGCCAUGGGAGCCGGGGGUGCUUGAAGUGCGUCGCCGCAAGGCGCGCCCUAGAGCAAAACCGGUGACUGGGGCUAAGUCGUAACAAGGUACC